GCGGAUGUCGCCUAAUGGUGGGGCACUUGCUUCCCAAGCAAGUCUAAUGCGGGUUCAAUUCCCGUCAUCCGCU
rnacentral:tRNA from 1 species